AACGAACGCUGGCGGCGGGCUUAACACAUGCAAGUCGAGCGCAUCCUUCGGGGUGAGCGGCGGACGGGUGAGUAACGCGUGGGAACGUGCCCUCUUCUACGGAAUAGCCUCGGGAAACUGAGAGUAAUGCCGUAUACGCCCGCAAGGGGAAAGAUUUAUCGGAGGAGGAUCGGCCCGCGUUGGAUUAGGUAGUUGGUGGGGUAACGGCCUACCAAGCCGACGAUCCAUAGCUGGUUUGAGAGGAUGAUCAGCCACACUGGGACUGAGACACGGCCCAGACUCCUACGGGAGGCAGCAGUGGGGAAUCUUGGACAAUGGGGGCAACCCUGAUCCAGCCAUGCCGCGUGAUCGAUGAAGGCCUUAGGGUUGUAAAGAUCUUUCAGCUGGGAAGAUAAUGACGGUACCAGCAGAAGAAGCCCCGGCUAACUCCGUG
rnacentral:rRNA from 1 species